GACGGCAGCACGGGAGCAAUCCUGGUGGCGAGUGGCGAACGGGUGAGUAAUGUAUCGGAACGUACCUUUCAGUGGGGGAUAACGUAGCGAAAGUUACGCUAAUACCGCAUAUUCUGUGAGCAGGAAAGCAGGGGAUCGCAAGACCUUGCGCUGAUUGAGCGGCCGAUAUCAGAUUAGCUAGUUGGUGAGGUAAAGGCUCACCAAGGCGACGAUCUGUAGCGGGUCUGAGAGGAUGAUCCGCCACACUGGAACUGAGACACGGUCCAGACUCCUACGGGAGGCAGCAGUGGGGAAUUUUGGACAAUGGGGGCAACCCUGAUCCAGCCAUGCCGCGUGAGUGAAGAAGGCCUUCGGGUUGUAAAGCUCUUUCAGCCGGGAAGAAAACGCAUGGGUUAAUACCCUGUGUGGAUGACGGUACCGGAAUAAGAAGCACCGGCUAACUACGUGCCAGCAGCCGCGGUAAUACGUAGGGUGCGAGCGUUAAUCGGAAUUACUGGGCGUAAAGCGUGCGCAGGCGGUUUGUUAAGAUAGGCGUGAAAUCCCCGGGCUCAACCUGGGAACUGCGUUUAUGACUGGCAGGCUAGAGUAUGGCAGAGGGGGGUGGAAUUCCACGUGUAGCAGUGAAAUGCGUAGAGAUGUGGAGGAACACCGAUGGCGAAGGCAGCCCCCUGGGCCAAUACUGACGCUCAUGCACGAAAGCGUGGGUAGCAAACAGGAUUAGAUACCCUGGUAGUCCACGCCCUAAACGAUGUCAACUAGGUGU
rnacentral:rRNA from 1 species